UNCAAUUGGCUUUAGCUCGACAGUGUGAC
rnacentral:piRNA from 1 species